rnacentral:rRNA from 1 species
AAGGGCACCACAAGAACGCGUGGAGCAUGUGGCUUAAUUUGACUCAACGCGGGAAAUCUUACCGGGUCCGGACACACUGAGGAUUGACAGGCAAUAUUAAUACGUGUUCGCACGUAUUAUGUUAAAUAUGCUAGUCCUUUCAUGAUUAUGUGAUAGGUGGUGCAUGGCCGUUCUUAGUUCGUGGAGUGAUCUGUCUGCUUAAUUGCGUUUCACUAAGGGCCUAUAAAUUUACGUGUGUUGCGGCACUUUGACCCCUUUCUUCGGAAAGCGCGUGUCUUAGUUUGCUUUGCUCACACAAUUAGGUCCUGAAAGCAACGAACGUGACCGCAACCUCUUGUUGCCUUUAUACCAAACAUGUUUGUCAUUUUUAUGGCAUUCAUGAAAAAAGGCUUUUUAAACUAGAGGGACCGCUGUUACUUUCUUAAACCAGAGGAAGGUUGCGGCAAUAACAGGUCUGUGAUGCCCUUAGAUGUUCCGGGCUGCACACGUGCUACAAUGAUUAUUGCAGUGAGCAUCUCAUUUUUACACACCGCAUGCGCGAGUCCAUUUAUUCACUUCGGUGCUUUAAAUGUGUAUUUCUGCGCGCGGUAAAGCCUGCUUCGAAAGUAAGUGGGUAAUCAAUUAGAAGUAAUGAUUUCCUUUUUAGCACACAUAUAUACGGCGUCUAUACCCGGGUUACCUUGUUGUAACUUUUGUGUGUAUAGAUGUUUUUUCCGUAUGUGCGAUUGUCAAUUCAUGGUGGGGACAGACCAUUGUUAAUUGUUGGUCUCGGUCUUAACUAGGAAUGCCUUGUACGGGUCUUUGGUUCAACAAACCACCCGGAAUACGUCCCUGCCCUUUGUACACACCGCCCGUCGCUCUUACCGAUGGACUUCUCUGUGAGUUUGAGGGACUGGGAACGCAGAAUUUAUUCUGCACACCUAUGGAAACUUAAACGAACAGUGUGGUCUAAAGGAAAGAGAAGUCGUAACAAGGCAUCGGUAGGUGAACCUGCAGAAGGAUCA